UACGGAGGGGGCGAGCGUUAUUCGGAAUUAUUGGGCGUAAAGGGCGCGUAGGCGGUUUCUUAAGUCAGAUGUGUAAUACCCGAGCUUAACCUGGGGACUGCAUUGGAUACUGGGAGGCUAGAGUGCUGGAGAGGGUAGUGGAAUUCCUCGUGUAGCGGUGAAAUGCGCAGAGAUGAAGAGGAACACCAGUGGCGAAGGCGGCCGCCUGGACAGUAACUGACGCUGAGGCGCGAAAGUGUGGGUAGCAAACAGG
rnacentral:rRNA from 1 species